UGUUGGGAUAGUUGGCUCCAUGCUUUUGCAUCGAACUUCUAGACCGCAUCCAUUUCAUGGCUCAAGCAUAAUAUAUAUUGCUUGAUGGUCGGCUGUGUUCCUGUAUUCGAUACCCAUGUUGGUGGUAUGGUGCCUAUAUUUUGUCCCAGUCCUCUAGAUGCCCUUUUGAGGGCAUCGGGUGGAGCAUGCAGUUUGAUCCGCCAAACCUAGUAAGCCAUUUUGGUUACGACGGUGGUUGUAUCAAAGCUUGUGUUCUCGGUUGCAGAAAAUUCUAUGGGUCCGAGGAUUUAAUCCUUGCAUUAGCCCUAUGUGGGAAUCGUCCCUCGAUAAGAAUGACAUCCUCUGUGCGUUACGAUCUGUCCGAUGCUCGUUUGGGCUGAGGACGUGUCGUGCGUGCGGCGGUGUCUUCAGAGGAAUGCUACCUGGUUGAUCCUGCCAGUAGUCAUAUGCUUGUCUCAAAGAUUAAGCCAUGCAUGUGA
rnacentral:misc_RNA from 1 species